rnacentral:tRNA from 6 species
GCCGAGGUGGUGGAAUUGGUAGACACGCUAUCUUGAGGGGGUAGUGUCCUUAUGGACGUGCGGGUUCAAGUCCCGCUCUCGGCACCA